UACAGAGGGGGCAAGCGUUAUUCGGAAUUAUUGGGCGUAAAGGGCGCGUAGGCGGCUUUGCAAGUGGCGGGUGAAAUCCCUCGGCUUAACCGGGGAACUGCGUCUGAUACUGGAUGGCUUGAGGUUGGGAGAGGGAUGCGGAAUUCCAGGUGUAGCGGUGAAAUGCGUAGAUAUCUGGAGGAACACCGGUGGCGAAGGCGGCAUCCUGGACCAAUUCUGACGCUGAGGAGCGAAAGCCAGGGGAGCAAACGGG
rnacentral:rRNA from 1 species